CCUCAGAAGAGGCACACCCUGGAUGUGCUUGUCAUUCUGAAGCAUGAUAAACAGAACACCAAACCCCUUCCCUUCACUCAUCAGGCUUGUAAUGCCCGGGAGCCUUUAUCUGCAAGGAUUUGAACCCUGUGUCUCCUGGUGUAAGAAGAGAUUUCAAAUUAAAAGAAAGCAAGAGAACCUGCACAAUAUCACUAUAAAACCAGAUACCUAAGCAAGCAAAAGACAUGAACUUCCC
rnacentral:lncRNA from 1 species